AGCUCCAAUAGCGUAUAUUAAAAUUGCUGCAGUUAAAAAGCUCGUAGUUGGAUUUCUGGUGUGGUGCGCCGAGCCCGCAUCCGUUUAGGUUGUGAGUGCUUGUUGUGCGCCUACCAUCCUUCCGGAGAGGCCGAUCUGCCCUUAACUGGAACGGGUCGCGUCGAUCUGGAUCGUUUACUUUGAAAAAAUUAGAGUGUUUAAAGCAGGCGUUUGCUAUGAAUACAUUAGCAUGGAAUAAUAAGAUAGGACUUUGGUUCUAUUUUGUUGGUUUCUAGGACUGAAGUAAUGAUUGAUAGGGACAGUUGGGGGUGCUAGUAUUUAACGGCCAGAGGUGAAAUUCUUGGAUUCGUUAAAGACUAACUUAUGCGAAAGCAUUCACCAAGGAUGUCUUCU
rnacentral:rRNA from 1 species